GCCUCCGCACUUAUCCCGCAACAAUCACAAUCGAUUCCAGAAAAAGACCUACAAUUGCAACCCCAAUAUCCUCCCGGGAGCUCUCCCCGUCGACCGCACAACGCCCUCAUCGGCACGCUCUUCGCCGGAGCGGCCCAGAGCGGCGUGCGCUGGAAGCUGGAUCCGGGAAGGAGUGCGGCCACAAGCGGGAGACAAGGGGAGGCGCGGUUGUGCUCUCUCUGGUCGCCGGCGCGGCCACCAGAGGGGAGACGGCCAGGGGAAGCGGCGGCCUACGACUCUGUAGGGGAUGCAGCGUCUGGCGGGAGGGGGCGCGCAGUAGGGAAGGCAGCGGUCGGAUCCAGGCGCGGGUGAGGCCUGAAUGCCACACGGGGCCCAUGGCGGCCAGAUCCGGGCCACGCAUGGGAGUCGGUGGUGUCCCGCCGAUGCGUAAAGGAAGCACGGGGCGGCGCGUCAGUGUGUCGUCGUGCACAGCACCGUGCGGGGUGAGCGAUGGGAUGCAAACGACAUUGUAGGCGCCGAUGCCGCACAUGCUUGAUUUGCUGCUGCCGCCGCCUCCGCUUGAGGUCUACGGACGCUGUCGACGAGUUAUGAGGCGGAACCAUCGAGCACCGAGCUGGAAACGACACCAUCGAGGAUGACAGACCGCCACCGAGGCUGAUUGUUGUGGACGCGCCUGCCCACUACAAGUCUCCUAUCGCUGUUGUGUUCCGAGCAGCCAGAGAACUACAGGUGCACGACUCCUGCAACCUGGUAUUUGAGAUGCAUUUCCCAAUCGUCCUGAUUAUGGACUUCUGCUCACGUUUGGAGCGAUCUGAAUUAAAACAAGAAUUCUGUGGAGUCUGCUUGAAUCAAUUGUUCAUCUCUACAUUAACGAAUAGUGAGAUUACCAGAGCAUCCUGGGCCUCCGACUUCUUGAUAUGAUCACUGGAUUGUUCUUUAAUAUUUAACAACCAAGACUGUUCUUUCCUGCAAAAAAUAUAUUUUCUGUCAUGAACUACUAAUGUCACUAUGAUGUCUCAAAGAGCUUUCUUAUAAGUUUGUGGUUAUGCACAUAUACAUGAUCUGGUAAAGGGGGAGACAAUGCAAGUGGCAGAGAUAGAAAGGUAGAGGUGGAAGAAGAGGGUGUGGUAGAGGAAGAGAAAGUCAUGCCAAACAGAAGUGGCAGGGGUUGAGGAAGGUCAGGUACAAGCUGAAGAUUAGGAGGAAGAUUUACAACCCAGUGUUGAAGGAUGUGUCACAUUUUGUUUGGCCGUAGCUACAAUCCAAAAGGGAGAAAUGCAGAAGAAUUUGUUCAGACUUGAAACAUGUGUGAUCGAGGAGAGAGCAACACCCAGCAGUCUGCACUACACACUUGACAUAUGUACAAAGGAUUUAUGUGGGCACAUGACAUACCCGUACAUAUUGUGAAAGUUUACAAGAGAAGCAUGUUGUUCUAAAUGAAUAGUCGCAAAUACGGACCUGGCCAUGGAAAGAUGAACACUAAUUGGCCACAAAUGAGCUACAUUGUUCAGGUUAUGAGUAGUUCUACCUUUAUUAGGCUUGCACAUCUGGUUUGUCCGUCAGUUAGUUCUCUGACUGGUUUUCAUGGUGCACAAACUUGUAUCUUACAACUUAGAUGAAUUAUGUCAUUUGACCGGCUUAUGUGGAUUCCACUUAUUUCUA